UACGUAGGGGGCAAGCGUUGUCCGGAUUUAUUGGGCGUAAAGAGCGUGUAGGCGGCUUUGCAAGUCCGUUGUGAAAACUCGAGGCUCAACCUCGAGACGCCGGUGGAAACUGCAAAGCUAGAGUCCGGAAGAGGAGAGUGGAAUUCCUGGUGUAGCGGUGAAAUACGCAGAUAUCAGGAAGAACACCCGUGGCGAAGGCGGCUCUCUGGGACGGUACUGACGCUGAGACGCGAAAGCGUGGGGAGCGAACAGG
rnacentral:rRNA from 1 species